UUUCGGGGUACACGAGCGGCGAACGGGUGAGUAACACGUGGGUGAUCUGCCCUGCACUUCGGGAUAGGCCUGGGAAACUGGGUCUAAUACCGGAUAUGACCUCCUAUCGCAUGGUGGGUGGUGGAAAGAUUUAUCGGUGCAGGAUGGGCCCGCGGCCUAUCAGCUUGUUGGUGGGGUAAUGGCCUACCAAGGCGACGACGGGUAGCCGACCUGAGAGGGUGACCGGCCACACUGGGACUGAGACACGGCCCAUACUCCUACGGGAGGCAGCAGUGGGGAAUAUUGCACAAUGGGCGAAAGCCUGAUGCAGCGACGCCGCGUGAGGGAUGACGGCCUUCGGGUUGUAAACCUCUUUCAGCAGGGACGAAGCGCAAGUGACGGUACCUGCAGAAGAAGCACCGGCUAACUACGUGCCAGCAGCCGCGGUAAUACGUAGGGUGCAAGCGUUGUCCGGAAUUACUGGGCGUAAAGAGUUCGUAGGCGGUUUGUCGCGUCGUUUGUGAAAACCAGCAGCUCAACUGCUGGCUUGCAGGCGAUACGGGCAGACUUGAGUACUGCAGGGGAGACUGGAAUUCCUGGUGUAGCGGUGAAAUGCGCAGAUAUCAAGAGGAACACCGGUGGCGAAGGCGGGUCUCUGGGCAGUAACUGACGCUGAGGAACGAAAGCGUGGGUAGCGAACAGGAUUAGAUACCCUGGUAGU
rnacentral:rRNA from 1 species